rnacentral:rRNA from 1 species
UACGGGGGGAGCAAGCGUUGUUCGGAUUUACUGGGCGUAAAGGGCGCGUAGGCGGCGUAACAAGUCACUUGUGAAAUCUCCGGGCUUAACCCGGAGCGGCCAAGUGAUACUGUUGUGCUAGAGUGCGGAAGGGGCUACUGGAAUUCUCGGUGUAGCGGUGAAAUGCGUAGAUAUCAAGAGGAACACCUGAGGUGAAGACGGGUUGCUGGGCUGACACUGACGCUGAGGCGCGAAAGCCAGGGGAGCAAACGGG